AUUGAACGCUGGCGGCAGGCCUAACACAUGCAAGUCGAGCGGAGCGGCGGACGGGUGGGUAAUGCCUAUGAAUCUGCCUGGUAGUUGGAGAUGAAUUCCGGAAACGGGCGCUAAUACAGCAUACUAUCAGAUGAGUCUAGGUCGGUUUGGCUAGUUGUUGGGGUAAAGGCCUACCAAGGCGACGAUCCGUAACUGGUCUGAGAGGAUGAUCAGUCACACUGGAACUGAGACACGGUCCAGACUCCUACGGGAGGCAGCAGUGGGGAAUAUUGGACAAUGGGCGAAAGCCUGAUGCAGCCAUGCCGCGUGUGUGAAGAAGGUCUUCGGUUUGGAAAGCACUUUCAGUUGGGAGGCGUUACCAACAGAAUAAGCACCGGCUAACUCCGUGCCAGCAGCCGCGGUAAUAC
rnacentral:rRNA from 1 species